AGUGAACGCUGGCGGUAGGCCUAACACAUGCAAGUCGAACGGCAGCACAGUAAGAGCUUGCUCUUACGGGUGGCGAGUGGCGGACGGGUGAGGAAUACAUCGGAAUCUACUUUUUCGUGGGGGAUAACGUAGGGAAACUUGCGCUAAUACCGCAUACGACCUACGGGUGAAAGCAGGGGAUCUUCGGACCUUGCGCGACUGAAUGAGCCGAUGUCGGAUUAGCUAGUUGGCGGGGUAAAGGCCCACCAAGGCGACGAUCCGUAGCUGGUCUGAGAGGAUGAUCAGCCACACUGGAACUGAGACACGGUCCAGACUCCUACGGGAGGCAGCAGUGGGGAAUAUCGGACAAUGGGCGCAAGCCUGAUCCAGCCAUACCGCGUGGGUGAAGAAGGCCUUCGGGUUGUAAAGCCCUUUUGUUGGGAAAGAAAAGCAGCAGGUUAAUACCCCGCUGUUCUGACGGUACCCAAAGAAUAAGCACCGGCUAACUUCGUG
rnacentral:rRNA from 1 species